rnacentral:ncRNA from 2 species
ACCUUUGUCGGAGCAUUUGGUUUUACGUUUCUAUAUACAUAGAGGCGUAAAUUAAAAGGGAAAAUCGUGAAAUUCGAUUAUAGUACCCGCUGCUGUGAGUUCUUUGUCUACCAUAAAUGUAGGCAAUAGUUCAAACCAUCAAAGCCACUGUUUUACAAAAUAUUAAACGACGGGAAGGCGGUUUGGGCAACAGAACAAGUCAGAAGACCUGCCUCAAUGCAACAUUUUUU